GACGAACGCUGGCGGCGUGCUUAACACAUGCAAGUCGAACGGAAAGGCCCUUUCGGGGGUACUCGAGUGGCGAACGGGUGAGUAACACGUGGGUGAUCUGCCCUGCACUUCGGGAUAAGCUUGGGAAACUGGGUCUAGUACCGGAUAGGACUACGGGCUGCAUGGUCUGUGGUGGAAAGCUUUUGCGGUGUGGGAUGGGC
rnacentral:rRNA from 1 species